rnacentral:lncRNA from 1 species
ACACCAUAGUAUUUAUUUAUUUAUUUAUGUAAGUGAACAGCAGACAGUAGUAUUUGUAACUAAUCUGUUAUGUGAAGACUGCACGCAUGCAAAACUUGAGGAACCAGCAACUGCUCACUGCAUCUGCCAUUCCUGCCUCUGGUCCCAUUGCCUGCAGAAGUCGGAAGGCAGUUUUAAUGUCAGAGAUUAUGAUGGUUUCAGGCAAUAAAAAUAAAAAUCCCAAAAUCAAAAUCUGUCAUUAGAGAGAGAAAAGCAGAGCCCCCACAAAAAUCAGCACGUAUGUAAUACUACAGUUAUUAUGCAUAGCCAGUUAUGCAUGGCCAAGUAUUCUGCACAGAACAAAUGAGUUUACUGAGACACUUGGGGUCAUAUUAGUUUUUACUUCAGCCAAUGUGAUUUUUUAAUUAUUAUUUUGCAUAUGUAGCAUUAGUACUUAAAUCUGAAAACUUGCAUUAAGUCCCUGGGAAGGUUGAUCUUUGUGUGUGUGCGUAUGUGGGAAAUAAAGGCUUAAGAGGUUGGAGCCCCAUUUUGCUGAACAGAACAUCUUUGUGAUGUGACCGUUUGCCCAGGCAGCAUGUGACAAUGGCAAGAGACCGAAAUCUUCAAGUGUUUGUCUGGAAGUGCCAGUUGCCCUUCUUGGGAUAUUCCCAGGAGGAGGUAGCACAGUUACUUUUGGCAAAAGUGACAGUCAUAUAUCAACUUCAGAGAGUGAAAGUGAUUAAAAAGACCCUACCAGAGACUGAAGAAAGGUGAUGAGCAUUUGUGGAGAGUUAGGAAGGUGGAGGGGAAGUUCAGUAUAUGCAGUCAUUUAAAGAAGAGAGGUCUUGCAUAGAAAACUAAGUGUUCUGGCUGUUCGCUCACAGAAAGAACAGAAGGAAAGAAUGACCAACAAGAAGCAGUGUGGGAAGGUUGACGGGGGGGAU